UGGCUCAGACGGUAAAGCGUCUGUCUGCUAUGCAGAGGACCCAGGUUCGAUCCCUGG
rfam:Ovis aries breed Texel chromosome 17, whole genome shotgun sequence.